rnacentral:rRNA from 1 species
GAUGAACGCUGGCGGCGUGCCUAACACAUGCAAGUCGAGCGAACCUUUCGGGGUGAGCGGCGGACGGGUGAGUAACGCGUGGGUAACCUGCCCUAUACACACGGAUAACGUACCGAAAGGUACGCUAAUACGGGAUAAAGUUGUUGGAUGGCAUCUUCUAACAAUCAAAGCUCCGGCGGUAUAGGAUGGACCCGCGUCUGAUUAGCUAGUUGGUGAGGUAAUGGCUCACCAAGGCGACGAUCAGUAGCCGACCUGAGAGGGUGAUCGGCCACACUGGAACUGAGACACGGUCCAGAAUCCUACGGGAGGCCGCAGUGGGGAAUAUUGCACAGUGGGCGAAAGCCUGAUGCAGCAACGCCUCGUGAGCGAUGAAGGUCUGCGGAUCGUAAAGAUCUGGCCUCAAGGAAGAUAAUGACGGUACUUGAGGAGGAAGCCCCGGCUAACCACGUGCCAGCCGCCGCGGUAA